rnacentral:rRNA from 1 species
AGUGAACGCUGGCGGUAGGCCUAACACAUGCAAGUCGAACGGCAGCACAGUAAGAGCUUGCUCUUACGGGUGGCGAGUGGCGGACGGGUGAGGAAUACAUCGGAAUCUACUUUUUCGUGGGGGAUAACGUAGGGAAACUUACGCUAAUACCGCAUACGACCUACGGGUGAAAGCAGGGGAUCUUCGGACCUUGCGCGAUUGAAUGAGCCGAUGUCGGAUUAGCUAGUUGGCGGGGUAAAGGCCCACCAAGGCGACGAUCCGUAGCUGGUCUGAGAGGAUGAUCAGCCACACUGGAACUGAGACACGGUCCAGACUCCGACGGUGGGCAGCAGUGGGGAAUAUUGGACAAUGGGCGCAAGCCUGAUCCAGCCAUACCGCGUGGGUGAAGAAGGCCUUCGGGUUGUAAAGCCCUUUUGUUGGGAAAGAAAAGCAGCAGGUUAAUACCCCGCUGUUCUGACGGUACCCAAAGAAUAAGCACCGGCUAACUUCGUG